AACUAAACAGAAAUCUUUUGAAUUUGAACAAUAGAAAUUUGGGUUCGAUCGAACAAUUUCGCCUAGUGGAAAACCGCCUUUAAGGCCCAUUUCCACUCAGGAAAAUUUUCCGCAGAAAGAAAAUUUUGUACAAUGUGAUUGGUCGACACAAAUUUUACGUCGGAAAAAAUUUUGAAGUUGAAAAUUUUCAACUUUUAACAAUGAUAUUUUCGGAACAUUUUCUGUCCAUGGAAAAUUUUCUUGGGUGGAAAUGGGCCUUUAAGCUUGUUGUCAACAAGGAGAUUUUCAUGCGAAUUGACCUUUGCCACCAAUGAAGCAUGGAAAAGGCAUUUCGCAUGAGAAAAUAUCGCAAGUGGAAAACAGGCUGAAAGUCUGAGUCUCGUGUCUGAUACUCUGAUAUACUCAUUAAUUCAAAAUUGUCAUCCAUGAAAUAUUACUUAACAUUAAGUUCUGUGCAAAUGAAUUUUACUCUACAGUCUCUAGUUUAUUAAAUUAUUCUUUAUACGAUGUUUUAACUCGAUUGAGCAAGG